UGUGGCUGGGCUCAGGGGCAGAGUGCUCGCUUCGCACACGUGGGGCCCUGGGUUCCAUCCUCAGCACCACAU
rnacentral:tRNA from 1 species